rnacentral:rRNA from 1 species
UUCGCCCUUUUCCGGUUGAUCCUGCCGGACCUGACUGCUAUCGGAUUGAUACUAAGCCAUGCGAGUCAUUGUAGCAAUACAAGGCAGACGGCUCAGUAACGCGUAGUCAACCUAACCUAUGGACGGGAAUAACCUCGGGAAACUGAGAAUAAUGCCCGAUAGAACACUAUACCUGGAAUGGUUUGUGUUCCAAAUGAUUUAUCGCCGUAGGAUGGGACUGCGGCCUAUCAGUUUGUUGGUGAGGUAAUGGCCCACCAAGACUAUUACAGGUACGGGCUCUGAGAGGAGUAGCCCGGAGAUGGGUACUGAGACACGGACCCAGGCCCUAUGGGGCGCAGCAGGCGAGAAAACUUUGCAAUGUGCGAAAGCACGACAGGUUUAAUCCGAGU